UACGUAGGGGGCAAGCGUUGUCCGGAUUUAUUGGGCGUAAAGAGCGUGUAGGCGGCCAAGCAGGUCCGCUGUGAAAACUCGAGGCUCAACCUCGAGACGCCGGUGGAAACCGUUUGGCUAGAGUCCGGAAGAGGAGAGUGGAAUUCCCGGUGUAGCGGUGAAAUGCGCAGAUAUCGGGAAGAACACCCGUGGCGAAGGCGGCUCUCUGGGACGGUACUGACGCUGAGACGCGAAAGCGUGGGGAGCGAACAGG
rnacentral:rRNA from 1 species